rnacentral:rRNA from 1 species
CGUAGGGUGCAGGCGUUAAUCGGAAUUACUGGGCGUAAAGCGUGCGCAGGCGGCUCCUUAAGUCAGAUGUGAAAGCCCCGGGCUUAACCUGGGAACUGCGUUUGAAACUGGGGAGCUGGAGUGUAGAAGAGGGGGGUGGAAUUCCAGGUGUAGCAGUGAAAUGCGUAGAGAUCUGGAGGAGCACCGAUGGCGAAGGCAGCCCCCUGGGCUAACACUGACGCUCAUGCACGAAAGCGUGGGGAGCAAACAGGAUUAGAUACCCUGGUAGUCCACGCCCUAAACGAUGUCAACUGGUUGUCGGGGAAGUAAUUCCUUGGUAACGAAGCUAACGCGUGAAGUUGACCGCCUGGGGAGUACGGCCGCAAGGCUA